CGCCUCUUGAAUUGAUAUAAGAGGUCCAGCCUGCCCAGUGACCAUGUUCAACGGCCGCGGUAUCCUAACCGUGCGAAGGUAGCGUAAUCACUUGUUCUUUAAAUAAGGACUAGUAUGAACGGCACCACGAAGGUUACACUGUCUCCUAUUUCUAAUCAGUGAAACUAAUCCCCCCGUGAAGAAGCGGGGAUAAAAAUAUAAGACGAGAAGACCCUAUGGAGCUUUAAACUAUAAGGCACUUGCCCACAUAUAACCAAAUUUCAGAAAAUCACUACUACCCAGGCAAUAUGACCCUUAGUUUUAGGUUGGGGUGACCGCGGAGCAAAAAAUAACCUCCACAUUGAAAGGAGCCACUCCUUAGCCAAGAGCCACACCUCUACGCACCAACAAAAAGACAUUAAUUGACCCAAUAUUUUGAUCAACGAACCAAGUUACCCUAGGGAUAACAGCGCAAUCCACUUCAAGAGCUCCUAUCGACAAGUGGGUUUACGACCUCGAUGUUGGAUCAGGGUAUCCCGGUGGUGCAGCCGCUACCAAAGGUUCGUUUGUUCAACGAUUAAAACCCU
rnacentral:rRNA from 1 species